rnacentral:rRNA from 1 species
AGUGAACGCUGGCGGUAGGCCUAACACAUGCAAGUCGAACGGCAGCACAGUAAGAGCUUGCUCUUACGGGUGGCGAGUGGCGGACGGGUGAGGAAUACAUCGGAAUCUACUUUUUCGUGGGGGAUAACGUAGGGAAGCUUACGCUAAUACCGUAUACGACCUACGGGUGAAAGCAGGGGAUCUUCGGACCUUGCGCGAUUGAAUGAGCCGAUGUCGGAUUAGCUAGUUGGCGGGGUAAAGGCCCACCAAGGCGACGAUCCGUAGCUGGUCUGAGAGGAUGAUCAGCCACACUGGAACUGAGACACGGUCCAGACUCCUACGGGAGGCAGCAGUGGGGAAUAUUGGACAAUGGGCGCAAGCCUGAUCCAACCAUACCGCGUGGGUGAAGAAGGCCUUCGGGUUGUAAAGCCCUUUUGUUGGGAAAGAAAAGCAGCAGGUUAAUACCCCGCUGUUCUGACGGUACCCAAAGAAUAAGCACCGGCUAACUUCGUG